rnacentral:lncRNA from 1 species
GUAGGUUAUUUGUUUCUUUUCUCUUGUUGCUUGCAGAUCCUUUCUUUAUCCUCAACCUUUGGGAGAUUGACUAUUAAAUGUCUUGAGGCAGUCUAAUUUGUUUUAAUUCUGCUUGCUAUUCUAUAACAUUCUUGUACCUGAAUAGGGAUAUCUUUCUCUAGGUUUGGGAAGUUCUCUGUUAUUAUUCCCUUUGAAUAAACUUUCUACCCCUAUCUCUCUCUCUACUUCUUCUUUAAGGCCAAUCACGGUUAGAUUUGCCCUUUUCAGAUUAUUUUCUAGAUCAUGUAGAUGUGCUUCAUUCUUUUUUAUUCAUUUUCUUUUGUCUCCUCUGACUGUGUAUUUUCAAAUAGCCUAUCUUCAAGCUCACUAAUUCUUUCUUCUGCUUGAUCAAUUCUGCUGUUAUCACCCUGAUUCAUUCUUUGGUAUGUCAAUCGCACUUUUCAACUCUAGAAUUUUUGCUUGUUUCUUUUUUAAAUAUUUCACUCCUUUUGUUACAUUUACGCGAUAGGAUUCUAAAUCCCUUCUCUGUGUUAUCUUGAGUUUCAGUGAGUUUCUUCAAAACAGCUAUUUUGAGUUCUCUAUCUGAAAGGUCACAUAUCCCUAUCUCUCUAUGAUUGGUCCCUGGUGCCUUAUUUUGUUUGUUUGGUGAAAUUAUGUUUUUCUGGAUGGUCUUGAUGCUUGUUGAUAUUCAUCAGUGUCUGGUCAUUGAAGAGUUAGGUAUUUACCAUAGUCUUCACAGUCUGGGCUUGUUUGUACUUGUCCUUUUUAGGAAAGAGUUUCAGGUAUUUGAAGGGACUUGGUGUUGUUAUCUAAGUUUUUGAUCAUUGCACCAGUAUCUGCAUUUGUGGGCCCCCCAAGCUCAGCAACGGUGUGUCUCUUGUAGACUCACAGAGGCACCACCUAGGUGGUCUUGGAUAAGAUCCAUAAGAAUCCCCUGGAUUAUGAGGCAGAUAAAUUUUUGUUCUCUUCCUUUACUUUCUCCCCAACGAACAGCAUCUCUCUCUCUCUCUCUCAUUCUCUGCAAAGCUGCCUGUUCUGGGGGGAGGCCUGACACAAACACCUCUGAGGCCACCAUCACUGGCACUGCUCUGUGUUAGACUUAGAACUAGCACAGCAAUGGGUCUUGCGGAAGGUCCGCAGUAACCACUGUCUGGCUACCGCCUAUGUUUGCUCAAAGGCCCAAGGGCUCUACAAUCAGCAGAUGAUUAAGCCAGUCAGGCUUGUGUCUUUCUGUUCAGGGUUAUGAGUUCCCCAGUCCUGGGUGGGUCCAUAGAUGCUGUUUGGGAGCCAGGAACUGGAGUUAGAAGCCAUAGAAAUCUAACUGGUACUCUCUUCCACUGCAGCUGAGCUGGCACCCAAGCAGGAAAACAAAGUUCUUCUCACUCUUCUCUCCCUUUUCCACAACCAGAGCAGUCUCCCUCCAUGGCCACUACCACCCCAGGCUUGUGGCGAGUACUGCCUGGCUACCACCGAUGUUCACUCAAGGCCCAAGGAGUCCUCAGUCAGUUUGUCCAGAAGCAGUCCCUCAUAAUCACCACACCUGGGAAUGUGCCAAGUCUCAUCUGAAGUAAGCGCAGCUCUGAGUCUCACCCAACGCUCAUGCUACAGAGCAGCAUCUGAAGAGCCACGGGGCCCCCACCUUCAUCCCUGAGAAUUUUAGGAGCCAGCCUGCCUUUCCAGGUGACACUGGACACUUUCAUCUGAGAACCCUGUCACAUGACAGUUGUUUCCUUUCUUCCUCCUCUCCUGGGAAUGCUGCUGCUUCGAUGACCCAAGAGCCUAAGAAGGGUAGCUGUUUCUCAAUACACUGAGAGAGAGUUCUUUCUCCGUCCUGACCAUCUUGGGACCCGAUGGCAAGACUGGAAGGAUUUAUAUCUCCUUUUGUACAGAAAACUGCCUCCCCAUGUUGGUUUGUGAAGUGAAAUGCAUAUAAAACAGAGGAUUCCAGACUCUCAGAAGUCAAUACAUAAAUAAAUAAAAAUAAAACUGAGAAGAUACCUCAAAAUGGUCAGACUCAUUAGCAUCAUCCAGGUGUAUUUUCUCUUCAAACAGUGUCAGUGGGUCUCUAAUAAAGAGAUGAGCAACAUGCUGGGCCAGGAGAUGAUCAAUGCCUGCAAAAAGAGAUCACAUGGGAACUCACUGCAAAGCGAGAGAUACCACUUCCUCUUAGUCCAGAAAGACGACAGGAUAGCUCAGGAAGUUUGAAGAAAGGGUGUCUAGAAGCUUGAAAUAGCUGGUUUGAUUAGUAUCCUCACCUCACCCAGUAUUUUAUCCUGCGGACACUGCGGGAGUGUCAGCGUUUUAUUCACUACUUACACAAUGCCUGCUGGGGCACUGGUGUGGACCUAGACACAGACCUCCAAAGUAAGCUCCUUUUGCUAAAAAUCAAGAAAAUCUCACAAGUAUUUGGAACCUGAAACUUUAGGAACAAGUAGCCUCAUGAGAGAAGUUAAAGACUUUGCACUAAAAAUAGAAACCAGACCAGGAGUCAGCAAAAAAGUGUAAAAGAGCUUUGAAGAACUAAAGGCGUACAUUCAAACCCAGAAAGAUGGAGUAGAAACCCACCUUCCUGCAACAGCUGUUCGUAGAUCUCUUUAUCUAUCGUCAA